CCCUUAGAUGUCCGGGGCUGCACGCGCGCUACACUGAAGGAAUCAGCGUGCUAAAACCAUUGUCGAAAGGCAUUGGUAAACCCAUUAAAAUCCUACGUGAUUGGGAUCGGGAAUUGCAAUUAUUUCCCUUGAACGAGGAAUUCCCAGUAAGUGUGGGUCAUAAGCUCGCGUUGAUUACGUCCCUGCCCUUUGUACACACCGCCCGUCGCUGCCCGGGACUGAGCCGUUUCGAGAAAAGCGGGGACUGCUGCUGUCGGGGCUUUCGGGCCUUGGCUUCGGUGGAAACCGCUUUAAUCGCANUNGCUUGGNCCGGGCAAAANUCGUANCA
rnacentral:rRNA from 1 species